rnacentral:rRNA from 1 species
GCAGUCGAGGGGUAACAGGAAUUAGCUUGCUAAUUUGCUGACGACCGGCGCACGGGUGCGUAACGCGUAUACAACCUACCUUUUAGCGGGGAAUAGCCCAGGGAAACUUGGAUUAAUGCCCCAUAGUAUGGAGGUCUCUCCUGAGACCAUCAUUAAACAUUUAUGGCUAUUAGAUGGGUAUGCGUCCUAUUAGUUAGUUGGUAAGGUAACGGCUUACCAAGGCAGCGAUAGGUAGGGGUCCUGAGAGGGAGAUCCCCCACACUGGUACUGAGACACGGACCAGACUCCUACGGGAGGCAGCAGUGAGGAAUAUUGGACAAUGGGCGAGAGCCUGAUCCAGCCAUGCCGCGUGCAGGAAGACUGCCCUAUGGGUUGUAAACUGCUUUUACAGAGGAAGAACCACUCCCACGUGUGGGAGUUUGACGGUACUCUGCGAAUAAGGAUCGGCUAACUCCGUGCCAGCAGCCGCGGUAAUACGGAGGAUCCAAGCGUUAUCCGGAAUCAUUGGGUUUAAAGGGUCCGUAGGCGGGCAGUUAAGUCAGUGGUGAAAGUCUUCCGCUCAACGGGAGAACUGCCAUUGAUACUGAUUGUCUUGAGUUAUUAUGAAGUGGUUAGAAUGAGUAGUGUAGCGGUGAAAUGCAUAGAUAUUACUCAGAAUACCGAUUGCGAAGGCAGAUCACUAAUAAUAUACUGACGCUGAUGGACGAAAGCGUAGGUAGCGAACAGGAUUAGAUACCCUGGUAGUCUACGCCGUAAACGAUGGUUACUAGCUGUUCGGCCCAAUUGAGGGCUGAGUGGUUAAGCGAAAGUGAUAAGUAACCCACCUGGGGAGUACGUUCGCAAGAAUGAAACUCAAAGGAAUUGACGGGGGCCCGCACAAGCGGU